CCGUCACGACUCACGAGGAGACUCCAUGAUCGAUGUUCCCUCGACAUCCUUCAACAAAGUUUCCGACAUCUAUUCGAGCGGAGAGGAGGUCUUGGGGGAUGGUGAGGGAGCAUUUGGUCUUCCAACAGAAAUCCCUAACGAAAGGGAAGAGAAUUUGGUGCAGACGCAGGCUAAGGGAAGAGAAUUUGGUGCAGACGCAGGUUCCUAGAAUACUUGAAUGUGAAGAACAGAACAAGGGGCUGCUUCCAAGAGUUGUAGAAGGACUUUUUGAUUCCAUAAAUUCUUUGGAUAUAGAAAAGACAUAUUCAGUUAAAUUGUCAAUGGUUGAAAUCUACAUGGAAAAAGUAAGGUAUGCAUAGAAAAAACCAGUAUGUUUGCCCCUAUAUAGGGAUCUAUUUGAUUUAUCAAAAGAUAAUAUACAAAUUAAGGAGAUUAAAUCACGAGGAAUAAUUCUACCUGGCGUUACAGAGACUUCCAUCUUCAUUCAUUCUUGCCACUUUUUUCAAAAAUAAUUGGCAAAUAUGAAAAAGAUCUUAGAAAUUGAUCCCUUAAAUGAUCAAGCUAGGAAAGUCAUUCAGCCACUAGAGCCCCUUGCUGCAGAAAAAUGAGAAAAGAUGAUGGAGGAAAUGAUUGGCAAUGCAUGCUGCUCCAAUGUACAUUGCAGAGACAGCUCCAACACCAAUACGUGGACAACUAAAAUCUCUAAAAGAGUUCUUUAUAGUACUUGGGAUGGUUGUAAGUUCCUGAACUUUCUUCGGCUCUUGAACUUUAUGGGAUUCCUUUAAGUAUUUUUAGCUUUUAUUGUUUUUUUUUUUUCCGCUGAUUAUGUUAUGCUUAUUUACUAGUAUUUACCAUAACU